rnacentral:misc_RNA from 1 species
AAAAAAAAAAAAAAAAAAAUGGUUGUUCGUCAUCUCUGUGGGUUACAAAGGAAACGUCUCCCUUCGUCCCUGUAAAGACUAAAGACGUUCCCUCUAUGGUCUCCCCCCAGUCUCUCUACUGCACAAAUCAAUGACUUCUACGAAUUCUCUCCUCAAAGUUCUCCUUAGAAGCCCCAACACUGUAAGCUCCAAAUACCAAGCCAAACAGCUGCAUGCUCAAAUCCUCAAACUCAAACCUUCCUCUUCCACUCACCUGUCCGCUCUCAUCUCCAUCUACGCCAAAUUUAAACUUUUACAUGAUUCUCUUCUUCUCUUCAGCACCCUCCACUCACCGCCAAUUCUUGCCUAUAAAUCCAUCAUCAGAUGCUACAUUGCCCAUAACCUUUUUGUUCAAUCCCUGGGAUGUUUUAUGCAAAUGAGAGCUUCUGGUAAAUACCCAGAUCAUAAUGUGUUCCCUUCUGUGGUCAAGUCUUGCGCCUUGUUGUUGGACGUAAAAUUAGGCGAGUCUGUUCAUGGGUGCAUCAUUAGGUUCGGUAUGGACUAUGAUUUGUACACGUGCAAUGCGCUUAUGAAUAUGUAUGCCAAAUUUCAUAGUUUGGGACUGAGUGGCACGCAUGGGAAUGGCAAGCAUAAGAUGCUUGAUGGAAUGUCUGAGAGAAUGUUUAGUAGUGAAGUUAGUGGCGAAUUGAUACACAAGUUUGAGAAACGGAUGAUGAGUAUUGAUCAAAAUGUUAGUUUGAACAAAGUUAAAUGUGUUUCGCCUCAAAUUAAUGGAAACAUCGAAUUCACUGAUCGAUCUUACAGGGAAACUCAUGAUUCUUACAUGGGAGAGGAAGAAAGGAGUACAAGAAUGGAUAGUGUGAGAAAGGUUUUUGAGAUGAUGCCUAGGAGAGAUCUUGUUUCUUGGAAUACAGUGAUUGCAGGGAAUGCACAGAGUGGGAUGCAUGAAGAAGCUCUAAUGAUGGUUAGGGAGAUGGGAAAUGCCAACUUGAAGCCUGAUUCGUUCACUUUGUCAAGUUUGCUUCCUAUCUUUGCAGAAUAUGUGGAUGUCAGCAAGGGGAAAGAGAUUCACGGGUAUGCCGUAAGAAAUUGCUUUGAUGAAGAUUUUUUUAUUGGUAGUGGCUUAAUUGUCAUGUACGCAAGGUGCAAUAGAGUGGAAGAUUCAUUAUGGGUGUUUAGCAUAUUGCCCCGACAAGAUGCCAUUUCAUGGAAUUCUAUUAUUGCAGGGUGUGUGCAGAACAAUCUGUAUGAUGAGGGCCUGAGGUUAUUUCAGCAGAUGUUGAAGGCUAAAGUUAAGCCUCGGCAGGUUUCUUUUUCCAGUAUCUUACCAGCUUGUGCUCAUUUGACAAAAUUAAAUUUGGGAAAGCAGCUGCAUGGAUAUAUAAUUAGGGCUGGAUUUGAUGAUAAUGUGUUUAUAGCUAGUUCACUUGUGGACAUGUAUGCCAAAUGUGGGAAUGUUAAAGUAGCUAGAUGGAUCUUUGAUAAAAUGGAGCUGCAUGACAUGGUGUCAUGGACAGCCAUUAUCAUGGGAUGUGCUUUACAUGGUCAUGCCCAUGAUGCUAUUUCCUUAUUUGAGCAGAUGGAAAUGGGAGGAGUGAGACCAAACUAUGUGGCUUUUGUGGCUGUGUUAACUGCUUGUAGUCAUGCUGGUUUGAUAGAUGAAGCUUGGCGAUAUUUUAACAGUAUGACUCAGAAUUAUGGAAUUGCACCAGGCUUAGAGCACUUUGCUGCAAUGGCAGACCUACUUGGUAGAGCAGGAAAGUUGGAUGAAGCUUAUAAGUUAAUCUCCAGUUUGGAGAGACCUGUAGGAAGUGUUUGGUCAACGUUGCUUUCUGCAUGUAGAGUCCACAAGAAUGUUGACUUGGCUGAAAAGGUUGCCAAGGAGAUAUUUGAAGUUGAUCCAGAGAACGUAGGAGCUUAUAUUCUCUUGUCAAACAUAUAUGCUGCUGCUCAGAGAUGGCGAGAUGCAUCAAAAUUGCGAGUCUUUAUGAAGGUUAAGGGCAUAAAGAAAAAUCCUGCUUGCAGCUGGAUUGAAGUUAAAAACAAGAUGCAUGCUUUUGUGUCUGGAGAUAAGUCCCAUCCAAGUUGUGAUAAAAUAUAUGAGACUCUGAAAGUCCUACUAGAGAAGAUGGAACAAGAAGGAUAUGUUCCUGAUACAAGUGAGGUGUUUCAUGAUGUUGAGGAGGAGCAGAAGAAGCAAUUAUUGUAUGGCCACAGCGAGAGACUUGCUAUAGCAUUUGGCAUCAUUAGCAUCCCUGCUGGGACAACAAUUCGAAUCACAAAGAACAUUCGGAUGUGUGCAGACUGCCAUACAGCAACUAAAUUCAUAUCAAAGAUAGUUGAAAGAGAGAUAGUUGUGAGGGAUAAUAACCGCUUUCACCAUUUCAAGGGUGGAAAGUGUUCAUGCGGAGAUUAUUGGUGAUAGGAGUGGGAGACGUCCUACAGUUUUCUGUUAUCAUUAGCACUCAGGCCAGGAGAAAAAUUUGAACAACAUUCAGGUCUGUGUAGACUUCCCAUGCAAAGAGUAUUUCAUCUAAGAUUUCAGAGAGGGAAAUAAUAAGGGUUGAAUUAACAAUUUAACAAGAUGUGGAAAAUGUGAUUUGGUCAGCCUAUUUAUAAGCCUUCACAUAAUCAAAGGGUAAGUUGCUCUCAGGUGCCAAAAAAAAAAUAAACUGUAAUAACCUGCAAGUAUGCAACAUGAGAUGCGAUUCAUCUGUGUAUUAUUA